rnacentral:tRNA from 1 species
GCUUCCUUGGCUCAGUCGGUAGAGCGUCAGUCUCAUAUGUCUUGCUUGGGCGAUCUGAAGGUCGCCAGUUCGAUCCUGGCAGGGAGCA